rnacentral:lncRNA from 1 species
CAAAGACAGCCGUUGGGUUAAUCAAUUGUUCUUUGGAGCAGCUUGGACACCUUUAGAGGGUGGGCUCUAUAGGUGAAAGAACGGCAGGCGGACCGACCAGAAGUUCGUGCUCUGAUGGCCGGGGAUGUGCAGAACUAGAGGAUGCGGAGCCGAUUGACAGCAGGCCUGAGAGAGAGAGACGAGGUUUUGCCAUGUUGCCCGUGGCUGGUCUUGAACUUCUGGACUCAAGCAAUCUGCCUGCUUCAGCUACCCAAAGGGCUAGGAUGCUGGGAAUAGAGGUGUGAGCCAUCAUGCUCAGCUUUUUUUUUUUUUUUUAGACAGGGUCUCAUUCUGUCACCCUGGCUGGAGUGCAGUGAUGCAAUCAUAGCUCACUGCAGCUUCGACCUCCUGGGCUCAAGUCAUCCUCCCCCCUUGGCCUCCUA